GAAUCAGGAUGUUUCGACCUAUUGAAUUGCUCCUCGGAAAAAGCGCAAGCCUUCUUCUGUCGAAUUGAGGAAGACGCAAUAAAAUACUGCAGAAAGACAUGCAGGAAAUGCGACAAAUAUCCUAAGCCCAUUACCCUGAAUCAGUGCAUGGAUCCCGUUGAUUCCUCGUCAAUCUGUUACACACUUCACAAAGAAAUUUGUGUUUGCAAAGACGAGUCAAUUAAAUCAAUUUGCGAUGGCUAUUGUAGUGGGUGUGGCGGAACGAUAAGAAGAAACGAUACGAACUAUGGAUGUCAUAAAAUAGACCAGGUGAAAAGACGUGAACUGUUGACGAGGCUUAUUCAUUGAAGAAUGCGACAGUGAUUUUGAUAUCGUGUUACAACAUGGCAACAUAUUUAAUAUCAUGUACAAAUACCUAUAAAGUGUUAUGGUUGUU